rnacentral:rRNA from 1 species
AUUGAACGCUGGCGGCAUGCCUUACACAUGCAAGUCGAACGGCAGCAUGGAGAGCUUGCUCUCUGAUGGCGAGUGGCGAACGGGUGAGUAAUGCAUCGGAACGUACCGUGUAAUGGGGGAUAACGUAGCGAAAGUUACGCUAAUACCGCAUACGACCUGAGGGUGAAAGCAGGGGAUCGCAAGACCUUGCGUUAUACGGGCGGCCGAUGUCAGAUUAGCUAGUUGGUGAGGUAAAGGCUCACCAAGGCGACGAUCUGUAGCGGGUCUGAGAGGAUGAUCCGCCACACUGGGACUGAGACACGGCCCAGACUCCUACGGGAGGCAGCAGUGGGGAAUUUUGGACAAUGGGGGCAACCCUGAUCCAGCCAUGCCGCGUGAGUGAAGAAGGCCUUCGGGUUGUAAAGCUCUCUCGGCCGGGAAGAAAUCGCACAGGCUAAUACUCUGUGUGGAUGACGGUACCGGCAUAAGAAGCACCGGCUAACUACGUGCCAGCCGCCGCCGUAACAC